UAUAGCAUAUCAAUAAGCGGAGGAAAAGAAACUAACAAGGAUUCCCCUAGUAACUGCGAGUGAAGCGGGAAAAGCUCAAAUUUAAAAUCUGGCGGUCUUUGUCGUCCGAGUUGUAGUCUGGAGAAGUGCUUUCCGCGCUGGACCGUGUAUAAGUCUCUUGGAACAGAGCGUCAUAGAGGGUGAGAAUCCCGUCUUUGACACGGACUACCAGUGCUUUGUGAUGCGCUCUCAAAGAGUCGAGUUGUUUGGGAAUGCAGCUCAAAAUGGGUGGUGAAUUCCAUCUAAAGCUAAAUAUUGGCGAGAGACCGAUAGCGAACAAGUACCGUGAGGGAAAGAUGAAAAGCACUUUGGAAAGAGAGUUAAACAGUACGUGAAAUUGCUGAAAGGGAAACGCUUGAAGUCAGUCGCGUCUGCCGGAACUCAGCCUUCCUUUUGGUUGGUGCACUUUCUGGUAGACGGGCCAGCAUCGAUUUUGACCGUAGGAUAAGGGCUGGAGAAAUGUGGCACCUUCGGGUGUGUUAUAGUCUUCAGUCGCAUACUACGGUUGGGAUCGAGGACCGCAGCGCGCCGCAAGGCAGGGGUUCGCCCACUUUCGCGCUUAGGAUGCUGGCAUAAUGGCUUUAAACGACCCGUCUUGAAACACGGACCAAGGAGUCUAACAAACCUGCGAGUGUUUGGGUGGAAAACCCGAGCGCGUAAUGAAAGUGAAAGUUGAGACCUCUGUCGUGGAGGGCAUCGACGCCCGGACCUGACGUUCUCUGACGGAUCCGCGGUAGAGCAUGUUUGUUGGGACCCGAAAGAUGGUGAACUAUGCCUGAAUAGGGUGAAGCCAGAGGAAACUCUGGUGGAGGCUCGUAGCGAUUCUGACGUGCAAAUCGAUCGUCAAAUUUGGGUAUAGGGGCGAAAGACUAAUCGAACCAUCUAGUAGCUGGUCCUGCGAUCU
rnacentral:rRNA from 1 species